rnacentral:rRNA from 1 species
GACGAACGCUGGCGGCGUGUUUAACACAUGCAAGUCGAGCGGUAAGGCCCUUUCGGGGGUACACGAGCGGCGAACGGGUGAGUAACACGUGGGUGACCUGCCCUCAGCUCUGGGAUAAGCCUGGGAAACCGGGUCUAAUACUGGAUAUGACUCCAUGACGCAUGUUGUGGGGUGGAAAGCCUUGUGCGGCUGAGGAUGGGCCCGCGGCCUAUCAGCUUGUUGGUGGGGUGANGGCCUACCAAGGCGACGACGGGUAGCCGGCCUGAGAGGGCGACCGGCCACACUGGGACUGAGACACGGCCCAGACUCCUACGGGAGGCAGCAGUGGGGAAUCUUGCGCAAUGGGCGAAAGCCCGACGCAGCGACGCCGCGUGAGGGAUGACGGCCUGGUGUAAC